CAAACACCUGCUGACAGGAACAAAUGUCCUCUCUGCAGUUGUGAUUGUUUGCACCAUGGAUGGUUGGUGUUGAACGUGCUGUCUUUUUGACUGCAGAAGGGUUGUGGGUUUGUGGGAGAACCAUGUGCACCACUAUCAUGGUUCUCUCCACUUUGGCCUUUUUGCUGCGCCAACACCUCUUCAACCGAGGCAAAACCUUCCCAAAAAAUCUGGAUGGAAAAGAGGCACCUGCAGUGCAGAGCCAAGAUCGUAAUAAAUGAAACUUCGUCACCAGAGCUGGGUUUUAAAUGCAGGCUGUCCUCAGGUCUGUGGGAAUAUAACAGAAAGCUUCUCUACAACAAUGCUCUGUGCCCUAAAAGUGGAACCAUCUGAGCCACAGCAGCUUUCACGCCCUGCCAACAAGCUGAUCUGGAGAGAAGACAAUCAAUCUCCUCUAUUAAACCUUCUUUUUAAAAUCAGGGAAGGGAAAGCCAUCUUGGUCGUGCGGACAUCCUUACUUAACUCUCCUAAGAAGUACAAUGCAGAAAUAAACAAGUGUUUGUGUGAUGCCCAUUCACGGGCUGCUGCGUCUUCAUUUGAAGGGAAAUCCACUCCCCCGCUCUCUGCAGCUCUAAAGCAUGAUGCUUGGAUUGUUAUGUUGUGUCACUGGAGAUUUAUCCCUUUACAUUGUUUCUCAUGCACAUCCAAUAAUGACAAAAUUGUGUACAGUAACAAUUGAGUUCCUAUGCAGUUAAUGCUGUUUUCCAUUUCUUUUGAGCUGAGUCACCUUCCAUCUAUUUUCGGCCUCAAUAAACAAAUGACUCCAA